rnacentral:rRNA from 1 species
AGAGUUUGAUAUGGCUCAGAGCGAACGCUGGCGGCGUGCUUAACACAUGCAAGUCGAGUGCGCAGUUUUCUGUAGCAAUACAGGGAAUGGGCGCACGGCGCACGGGUGAGUAACACGUGGGCAACCUGCCCUCCAAAAGGGGAUAACCCGCCGAAAGGCGGGCUAAUACCGUAUGACAUCACGAUGGCUCCGGCUGUUGUGAUCAAAGGCCGCAAGGCCGUUGGGGGAGGGGCCCGCGCCCGAUUAGCUAGUUGGCGAGGUAACGGCUCACCAAGGCUUUGAUCGGUAGCCGGUCUGAGAGGAUGGCCGGCCACACUGGAACUGAGACACGGUCCAGACUCCUACGGGAGGCAGCAGUGGGGAAUAUUGCGCAAUGGGCGAAAGCCUGACGCAGCGACGCCGCGUGGGGGAUGAAGCUUCUCGGAGUGUAAACCCCUUUCGACCCGGAAGAAUGUCCCGCAAGGGAUUGACGGUACGGGUAUAAGAAGCCCCGGCUAACUACGUGCCAGCAGCCGCGGUAAUACGUAGGGGGCCAGCGUUGCUCGGAAUUACUGGGCGUAAAGGGUUCGUAGGCGGUGUGGCAAGUCGGAAGUGAAAUCUCCAGGCUCAACUUGGAGGCUGCUCCCGAAACUGCCAUGCUAGAGUGCGGGAGAGGCCAGUGGAAUUGCAGGUGUAGCGGUGAAAUGCGUAGAUAUCUGCAGGAACACCCGUGGCGAAGGCGGCUGGCUGGACCGCAACUGACGCUGAGGAACGAAAGCUAGGGGAGCAAACAGGAUUAGAUACCCUGGUAGUCCUAGCCCUAAACGAUCAGGACUUGGGGUGCAUCCCGACGGGAUGCGUCCCGUAGCUAACGCGUUAAGUCCUGCGCCUGGGGAGUACGGUCGCAAGACUGAAACUAAAGGAAUUGACGGGGCCCGCACAAGCGGUGGAACAUGUGGUUCAAUUCGACGCACGCGAAGAACCUUACCUGGGCUUGAACCGCUACUGACCACGGU